UGGGGUCCCUGAUGUCAACUUCGGGGCCCUUGAGGUCGCCUUCCACUUUGGGCAGAGAAAUGUCCAUGUCGCCCUUCACCUUUGGACCUUUCAGAUUCAGGUCAACUUCAGGCAUAGAGAUCUUCGGUGCCUUGAGGUGCAGGUCAGGCAUUUUAAAUUUGGGGCCCUUCAGUUUCCCUUCUGGACCAUGAAUAUCAAUAUCAGGAGUGUCAAUGUCCACUUUGGGUCCUGAGACAUCAAUGUCAGCCUUGGGCAGGUUCACAUCCACAUCUGGGCCCUCUCCUUUGAAGCCAGGCAUGCUGAACUUGGGCAUUUUCACCUUGGGCAUCUUCAGGUGCCAGUCUGGACCCUGAACAUUAACAUCUGGGACAUCAAUGUCCACUUUGGGGCCUUUGAGGUCAACUUCAGGACCUUUCAGAUCUCCCUCUACC
rnacentral:lncRNA from 1 species